rnacentral:rRNA from 1 species
GACGAGCGCUGGCGGCGUGCUUAACACAUGCAAGUCGAACGGAAAGGCCCUGCUUUUGUGGGGUGCUCGAGUGGCGAACGGGUGAGUAACACGUGAGUAACCUGCCCUUGACUUUGGGAUAACUUCAGGAAACUGGGGCUAAUACCGGAUAGGAGCUCCUGCUGCAUGGUGGGGGUUGGAAAGUUUCGGCGGUUGGGGAUGGACUCGCGGCUUAUCAGCUUGUUGGUGGGGUAGUGGCUUACCAAGGCUUUGACGGGUAGCCGGCCUGAGAGGGUGACCGGCCACAUUGGGACUGAGAUACAGCCCAGACUCCUACGGGAGGCAGCAGUGGGGAAUAUUGCACAAUGGGCGGAAGCCUGAUGCAGCAACGCCGCGUGCGGGAUGACGGCCUUCGGGUUGUAAACCGCUUUCGCCUGUGACGAAGCGUGAGUGACGGUAAUGGGUAAAGAAGCACCGGCUAACUACGUGCCAGCAGCCGCGGUGAUACGUAGGGUGCGAGCGUUGUCCGGAUUUAUUGGGCGUAAAGGGCUCGUAGGUGGUUGAUCGCGUCGGAAGUGUAAUCUUGGGGCUUAACCCUGAGCGUGCUUUCGAUACGGGUUGACUUGAGGAAGGUAGGGGAGAAUGGAAUUCCUGGUGGAGCGGUGGAAUGCGCAGAUAUCAGGAGGAACACCAGUGGCAAAGGCGGUUCUCUGGGCCUUUCCUGACGCUGAGGAGCGAAAGCGUGGGGAGCGAACAGGCUUAGAUACCCUGGUAGUCCACGCUGUAAACGGUGGGUACUAGGUGUGGGGUCCAUUCCACGGGUUCCGUGCCGUAGCUAACGCUUUAAGUACCCCGCCUGGGGAGUACGGCCGCAAGGCUAAAACUCAAAGGAAUUGACGGGGCCCCUCACAAGCGGCGGAGCAUGCGGAUUAAUUCGAUGCAACGCGUAGAACCUUACCUGGGUUUGACAUGGAUCGGGAGUGCUCAGAGAUGGGUGUGCCUCUUUUGGGGUCGGUUCACAGGUGGUGCAUGGCUGUCGUCAGCUCGUGUCGUGAGAUGUUGGGUUAAGUCCCGCAACGAGCGCAACCCUUGUUCACUGUUGCCAGCACGUUAUGGUGGGGACUCAGUGGAGACCGCCGGGGUCAACUCGGAGGAAGGUGGGGAUGACGUCAAGUCAUCAUGCCCCUUAUGUCCAGGGCUUCACGCAUGCUACAAUGGCUGGUACAGAGAGUGGCGAGCCUGUGAGGGUGAGCGAAUCUCGGAAAGCCGGUCUCAGUUCGGAUUGGGGUCUGCAACUCGACCUCAUGAAGUCGGAGUCGCUAGUAAUCGCAGAUCAGCAACGCUGCGGUGAAUACGUUCCCGGGGCUUGUACACACCGCCCGUCAAGUCAUGAAAGUUGGUAACACCCGAAGCCGGUGGCCUAACCGUUGUGGGGGAGCCGUCGAAGGUGGGACUGGUGAUUAGGACUAAGUCGUAACAAGGUAGCCGUACCGGAAGG